AAUUAUUCUAGUUAAGUUUAUUGAGCCAGCAACAACGGUUGAUGCAUGUGAAAAAGCUUUUCCACAUCCUUUUUUAAUUCCCACUUUUUCUUUUGUUGCUUUUUUUUUUAUUUUUUUUUUGCUUCCCGGUGUUGUCCUAGCUAGUAUCUUUAUAUUGGAUGUUAUUCCUUACUCUUGGCCACAUAUAUUAGUAUGACCAAGCUAUUCCUUAUUGAUUGUUUGAGGUCAAAACGGUGUGGGACGCAAUCAUAUAGUCUCUGCAGAAUUUAUUCAUGGAAUCUUUGGAUCAUAAAAAUGGCAAUACGAGAGACGGAAGUACAACUCAUCAAGAGAAUAUUUGAAGUUCCAAAUGUGAGGUCGACACCGUUUUGAAUAUUUGAAUAUGUAUAGUGCGUACAUCAACCUUAUUCCGUUGCAAAUAGUAAAAGACUAAAGACUAGGAACUAGCUGGGAUCUUAGCUUAUCUUAUUACCAAUGACCUUAUAUCAACACCAAAAAUCUAAAGGAAAGUACAAGGUUAGUAAUUAUGAUAUGGAAAAGGUUCAAUAACGAUGGUCUUAAUUAAAAUAUUAAAACAUGAAAUGUGCAUCAUCAACAUGGUUUCUCAAGAUUAUACAUGUUGAUUUUACUUUUUUUUUUUCCAGACACAUCAACAUUUUGAAAGCGAAGUAGCAAUGACACCAUAGAUACAUAGCCAUGACGUAUCCAGAAGACCAUAGCAUACGUCGAAUAUUGUGAACAAAUUGAAUUAUUCAGCUAGCAACGCAAAUCUGAGACUUUAAUGAAUUAACCACAAAUAAACAAAAGGUACGUAGCAACUCAGCGCUGAUAUUUAUAUAUUAUGAAUGAUAAUAAUAUAAAAUUUACAGAAGCACAUAAAAGAGAGACGUUAUUAUUAUUAAUCUUAGAGCAUAAAAGACGGGGCAGAGGUUCCCUUGGAGGGUGACACCCAAAUUAAAGGACGAUUAAUGUUUGGUUAAGUAAUUAAUAAA